rnacentral:pre_miRNA from 1 species
GAAAGAUGCCGAACUAUUUUUGCGAUGUGUUCCUAAUAUGUACUAUAAGUGUAUUGGGAACAUUUUGCAUUCAUAGUUUUGUAUCAAUCGU